GCCAGACUCCUACGGGAGGCAGCAGUGGGGGAUAUUGCACAAUGGGGGAAACCCUGAUGCAGCGACGCCGCGUGGGUGAAGGAGCGUUUCGGCGCGUAAAGCCCUAUCGGCAGGGAAGAAGGAGGACGGUACCUGACUAAGAAGCCCCGGCUAACUACGUGCCAGCAGCCGCGGUAAUACGUAGGGGGCAAGCGUUAUCCGGAUUUACUGGGUGUAAAGGGGGCGCAGACGGCAGCGCAAGCCAGGAGUGAAAGCCCGGGGCUCAACCCUGGGACUGCUCUGGAAACUGCAAAGCUGGAGUGCGGGAGGGGCAGGCGGAAUUCCUGGUGUAGCGGUGAAAUGCGUAGAUAUCAGGAGGAACACCGGCGGCGAAGGCGGCCUGCUGGACCGUAACUGACGUUGAGGCUCGAAAGCGUGGGGAGCAAACAGGAUUAGAUACCCGCGUAAG
rnacentral:rRNA from 1 species